UACGGAGGAUCCGAGCGUUAUCCGGAUUUAUUGGGUUUAAAGGGUGCGCAGGCGGGAGAUUAAGUCGGCGGUGAAAUUUUGCAGCUCAACUGUAAAAGUGCCUUCGAAACUGGUUUCCUUGAGUGUAGAUGAAGUAGGCGGAAUUUGUGGUGUAGCGGUGAAAUGCAUAGAUAUCACGAGGAACUCCGAUUGCGCAGGCAGCUUACUAAGCCAUAACUGACGCUCAGGCACGAAGGCGUGGGGAUCAAACAGGAUUAGAUACCCGGGUA
rnacentral:rRNA from 1 species